UACGUAGGGUGCAAGCGUUGUCCGGAAUUAUUGGGCGUAAAGAGCUCGUAGGCGGUCUGUCGCGUCGAAUGUGAAAAUCCGGGGGCUCAACCCCGGACCUGCAUUCGAUACGGGCAGACUAGAGUUCGGUAGGGGAGUCUGGAAUUCCUGGUGUAGCAGUGAAAUGCGUAGAUAUCAGGAGGAACACCGAUGGCGAAGGCAGGUCUCUGGGCUGACACUGACGCUCAUGCACGAAAGCGUGGGGAGCAAACAGG
rnacentral:rRNA from 1 species